UCUAUCACAAGGAAUGUUCGAUGAGCGCUGAAACAUGAGGAAAUCAGUUUCUCCAGGACUUCAUCAACGGUGGUCUGAAAUUGUACACUGACAGCAAAAACUAUUCAGGUUCACGCAAUUGUCACAAUCAAGGAGUGCCAUGAGGCUCAUCUUUGCCAGGUGAGAAUGUCAUGUGAACUUCAACAGCGACGUCAUUUUUGGAUUGUCCAGUUUUUCAAGGAACAAGGUAGUUGGGAAUGAGGAUGACAUCAUAUGAUCCAAAUGAGAGUGACAUGGAAUCGAUGUUUGAGGGGCUGUCAUCACUACACGGUGUAACGUUUUUUUGUUUCCUAAUUUUUUCAAGAUGCCGGAAAGGCGAUCCCUGUUUUUACUCCACCUCCGACUCAUUUGUGUAUGUUUACUUUGGAUAUUUUCAUUCCUGGUACUUGUAGAUGCGAAUAAAAGCUUUCUAAUUGUGAAGCAGGGUGAUCCUUGUGACACGUCUUUGAUAUAGUCUCAUUGGUAAAGGCUCGCACUACAUCUUUUCCGACCACUUUCCAGUUCUUUCAACGUAUUUUAGAAGGUGGACGUGGACAGCAAUUUUUAUUCUCGUGUUUUGGUUCGCAAUCUUGAAUUCCAUCCAGAAAUGUCUCUCCUCGGAAUAUGGCUCUUUCAGCGCUAGCUGGACGUGUUCUUCGAAUGGCCAGACGAGUUGGAUCAGGCCAAAAAUGGUCAUCAUCGAGGGAGAGGGUGUUCUUGAGAUUUCGAAGCCUGUUGUCAGAAUGAAGGAUUUUCAGUGACAAAGCCAUUACAAGGAUUAUGGCAGAGACGAAGUGAAGAAUGACAGCGACGAUCAUAUUCAGAUUGAGUAGGUUAAGGGCUUAUUGAGUGUGACAACUCCACAUCAAAGCUUUAAUCCUGAAAAGA